UACAGAGGUGGCAAGCGUUGUUCGGAAUUACUGGGCGUAAAGGGCGCGUAGGCGGUUCGUUAAGUCCUGUGUGAAAUCCCCCGGCUCAACUGGGGAACUGCACAGGAAACUAGCGGGCUUGAGUUCGGGAGAGGGAAGCGGAAUUCCGCGUGUAGCAGUGAAAUGCGUAGAUAUGCGGAGGAACACCGAUGGCGAAGGCAAUCCCCUGGGCCUGCACUGACGCUCAUGCACGAAAGCGUGGGAGCAAACAGG
rnacentral:rRNA from 1 species